rnacentral:rRNA from 1 species
CCCUUAGAUGCUCUGGGCCGCACGCGCGCUACACUGGUCGAUGCAACGAGUUUCUUUCCUUGGCCGACAGGCCUGGGCAAUCUUUGAACAUCGAUCGUGAUCGGGAUAGAUUCUUGUAAUUUUUGAUCUUAAACGAGGAAUUCCUAGUAAACGCAAGUCAUCAGCUUGCAUUGAUUACGUCCCUGCCCUUUGAACACACCGCCCGUCGCACCUACCGAUUGAAUGGUCCGGUGAAAUCUCCGGACUGGCGUGAGUCGGAGCAAUCUGACAAACACCGGAAAGUUGAUUAAACCUUACCAUUUAGAGGAAGGUGAAGUCGUAACA